rnacentral:misc_RNA from 1 species
GAUGAAGAACGCAGCGAAAUGCGAUAAGUAAUGUGAAUUGCAGAAUUCAGUGAAUCAUCGAAUCUUUGAACGCACAUUGCGCCCGCCAGUAUUCUGGCGGGCAUGCCUGUCUGAGCGUCAUUUCAACCCUCAUGCCCCUAGGGCGUGGUGUUGGGGCUCGGCCAAAGCCCGCGAGGGACGGCCGGCCCCUAAAUCUAGUGGCGGACCCGUCGUGGCCUCCUCUGCGAAGUAGUGAUAUUCCGCAUCGGAGAGCGACGAGCCCCUGCCGUUAAACCCCCAACUUUCCAAGGUUGACCUCAGAUCAGGUAGGAAUACCCGCUGAACUUAAGCAUAUCAAUAAGCGGAGGA